ensembl:lncRNA
ACCCAGAUGGGUAACUCUAACAGGAAUGGCAGUGCUUUAGGAUUUGAUGUUCACGAAGAAAGUGGAAUUCCUGAGCAAUGCAGAGGAAGGUAAUGGGGAUAAUAAGGCAAAGCAAGGAGAGCAGCUGGGGGAAGUGAGGGAAAGGCUGAAAGGAAAAGAACAGGCAGCAUGCAGGGCACCUUAUAGUGCAGUAAUGAGCUCUAGGAGCACUAUAUUGUGCCACUCUGUGUAGUGGAUAACCAUCUAUGUGUAUACGUUCCCUUUGCCUGUCUGCGCAACCAGCAGCCGCACAGCAAAGGCGGCUUCCGGGGCACUGCUGGAAAUGCCUCGGAGCGGUUCUCGCACCUCCCGACAGCGCUGCGGCUCUGCUGCCACCUGCUGGACGCCGGUCGGUACUGCAGGCACUGCCCCAGCAAGGGUCCCUGGUGUAUUCCAGGCACCGGAGACGUGCAGUGGUUUCUCCUGGGGCUCCUCAGUGUUCUCUAGGCUGCUCUAGAUGCUUCCCAGAGCGUCCUAGAGGCCUCUCAAGAGCCAACCUAUGUGCUCAGAGAAACGCUAGUGUGCUUCCAGAGCUCCUGUAUGUGUUCUCAGGAGGGUUCCAAGUGUGCCCUAGAUGCCUCCAAGAUGCCCCCAGCAUAAUCUGAGGAAUCCUGGAGUACUCCCAGAGCUCCUCAGUGUUCACUAGGAUGCUGUAGAAGUCUCACAUUGUGCCCUAGAGGCUUUCAAGGACACCCCAGUGGACCCCCUCAGCCCCGGCGCUGAGCCAAUCGGAUGCCGCGAUAGGCGCAGGGGUGGCUGAGAGCCAAACCGGUCCGUUCCCGGCACUGAGCGCUCCCCUGAUCUGAGUAGCGAGCGUAAAUCCAUGCAAGUACCACUUGCUUUGGUGCAUGCGCACUGCUGCCGGAGGACCAGUCACCAUAGAGCGGUGGUUUCUCUGUGCAGAGCAGCUAGAAGUCAGACGUCACUUCCGGCUUCCUGUGCACACGCGUCUUACUGCCUGGAGGCUCAAACACCAUAGAAGUUGGCGGACUCGAGGCGCAGAGCGGCUACAUGCAAAUUACGGAUGCGCUGAGCCAAUCGGCGGCCGCGCGGAGGCAGCGAUGAGUUAAAGCGGGUGCGUGUGUGGUACGGUGAGGAGGACCAAAGACCAUAGAAACUGGCGGACUCGCAGCGCAGAGCGGUGGGAGGAAGGCGAUGGGUUUUCCGCGUUUCAGCGCGCAUGCGUGUCACUGCCUGGAGGACCAAACACCAUAGAAAUUGGCGGGCUUGCGGCGCAGAGCGUUCAGAACAGGGAGGUACUUUUCAUAGGAGGUGUGGAAGAAAUGUGAGAAAGAGGUGUCUUAGAUGAGAGGAGACGACUGGACUAUGUGGAUCAAGGGAGAAGAGUUGAGUUGUGUGUUCUAGAAUACAAAAGUGACUUUGUUGUACAGUUUCAUCGGCCUGAUGAUUCUCUGCUGGAAAUCAGUGGAUGACUCAAAGCAAAGACAAAAGGCAGCCAAGUGUCAGACAGCAAAAGACAACACCGUUUUUCUUUCUUCAUGACAGCUGGGAUGAACAUUUGCAAGAUACGGAUCCAAAUGUUUCUGUACGUAAAACUGUUUGUCACCUGGUGAUCAGCUAUGCCUGUUUGUUACCAUGACCAAACAGUGAGUCCUCAUUUUGAUUCAUCAAGAACUUUGCCCUUUGUUGUGAACUAAAGUACUACUAAAACCUGACAGAGCAAGAACUAAGUUGUUCAAAAGGAUACUGAGUCAUGGUGCAGGAAACACUGAUUAUUAUGCCCAACUUGUUUUCACAUACAUGUGUGCAUGUGCAUAAUAGGUAGAUGUAAGCUCAUUGCUUGCCUUGCAAGGAACUGCUGUAUUUUGUAAGACACAUAGCAAGCAACUUCUCUUAUAUAGCAAGCAUAAUAAGUAAACUUCCCUUUGGUUUCAAUUUCUACAUCCAAAAUAUUUACAGGGACUAUUGAAAUCUGUCUAUCAACUCCUAGGCAAGGCCCUAGACAUUUUUCUAGCUGUUGCGUAAGAAACAACAAAUCUCAGUUUAUGUGGUGCAUGAGAGCUGGCACUGAUUUUCCUAGGAAGCACUGCAACUGUUCUGGUUUGGGCUGCGUUAGAGUUAAUUUUUCAUAGUGAGUGGUAUAUGUCCCUUAAAGAUAAUGCCUUUUCACAGUAUCUGUCUUAUUUUUAAAAGCAUUAAUUAAGAGGAAAGGCAGACAGCAGUAAAAGUAUGUCCACAAUUAACAUAGGAAAAUACUAAGCUCAUGUAAAAUGACUGUAGCGUGCUUUCUGUUGCUUUAUGAUGGAAAACAGAUCUGUACUAUCUGCACACAAAAAGGAGGAAAGCAUUAUUUAAAGUCUCUAAUAGCAUAUUAAGCUGGAGGAAAUUUUAAAUGAUUAGCCUAAUUAGUCUACUUCUUAACAAGGAUCAAGUAAGUUACUAAUGUAGAAAUGAGUAAGGCAGAAGGUUUGUACCUUCUAAGAAGCAUGGCUGCCCUUUAAGCUGCCAUCUGAAUCCACAGUCUCUCCUCUUAGAAUAAGGAAGUUAAGAUCUGGCACUGCUUCAGUUCAAUAAAAAACAAAAUAAUUUGGAUCUUGAUCCCCAAUUUAUCCUGUAGCUAUCUGAGAAAUUCUUUCCUUAUUAACAGAGAAAGAAGGAAGUAACUGUAGAAACUGCUUUAAGGCAGCUGCCUAGAAUUUUUCGUGGUAAUGAGCUCUGUUCAUAGACUUUAAAAAGUUUAAUUAAAUACAGAUGAAUGACAUUUCCUACUUUCGUAAAACUAUAGAUCGGCAUUUGUAAGAGCUCAUGAAGGCAUCCAGUCCUUGUCCUAAUUAGCCACGGUAGUUUAAAGCAAAAAAAAGUAGUGCUGGAGGGGGGGGAGGGGAUCUACUGUUGAUUUAUCAAUUAUGGUAUUUUCUAUUAUACCAAAAUGAUGCAGAAAGGCUUUGAAAUCCAUCAUCCCAAUGCCAGUUUCUGCAGUUAUGAAAAAAAUGCCUAUACUGACAACAAAGUCCAUUUCAUGCUCUUGUAUUCCACUUGACCUUCUAUCUUCUCAGUUUAAGGAUUGUGGCCUGAGGCCACCGCCGUGUCAGUCACCCACAUGUUAACUCUGGCAACAAACCAAGUAUUGAAUUCUUGCAGAAACGCCGAAAAGAUCGUUAGAAAAAAAGAAAAGCUUAUGUGUACAUACAUACUAUGGAGCACUUCUGGCUGCACUUUUGUCGAGAGAAUGAUUCUCAAUGGGCCCCAUGAAUCUCAGCCUGAGUGUUGGCUGAUACAAGAAGGUGAACAUGUAACACAAUGAGAUCUACUGCUGCACAGCUGCCUCCCAGCAGAGAAUGCAUUACAGUGCUCACGUGCGUUUGUAUGCUUGCAAACUCAGUCAGCUCAGUGGUAUUUGUUUUCUAUUAUCUAGAAGAGCAUUUGAGUGAGCAAACCCAGAAGGUGGGUUUGAGGACGGACCGGGCUGCAAGCUUCCAACCUGCGUAGUACAGAAGGACUCUCAGCAACUGGCCCAAGAGGAAACUGAAGAUGACUUGGUCCUGUGCUGUAGUAACAACACUUCACUGCUUUGGAAAAACAAUAAAAAGAAGAAAGAAAAAAGAAAGCAUUGAGAGUUCCAACACCAUAAAAAGAUAAGAAACAGAAUGUAUUUUGAGUGAAAGUGGAAAAGUCUUGUGUUACGCAACACAGUCAUGCAGAAAUCUCCAAAACAGGUGUGUUCAUAACAGCAUGGCACUGAGCAUGGAUUAAUUCAUUACAGCUGAGAUACUCCUAGGUUCUGAUUGGAAUAGUUUGUGGGUACAUCUUCUCACAGAUGUUCCAGCUCAGAUAUGUUACUGCCUCAGGCCUGCACUUGUACCAUUGGUUCUUGUGGUUUGGCUGAACUGGAGCAAGAGGAACAGAAAGACACAAGGGCUGUUUGCAAAGAAAAACAUAUAGAGGGGGAAAGUAGAAGCAGUUAAACAAAUAAAGAGGUAUUGAAGAGAAGGAAAAUCAAUGAGUCAUAAGUGAACAUGGACGAACUUUCAGAGGAAGUGAUGCAUGCAUGUAGAUGGAUAUUGGAUAUUACAUAGAGGGUAUUUCAAUGCUGGCAUUUGAUUUGAAAGAACAACCAGGCAGGUCCACUUUCUCUCCCUACUAAUUUACAUGAAAUUACUAACUCUCCUCUAAUUUGUAUUAGGACAUUUCAAAGCUCUGCGUGAUUUCCAAAGGCAAUUUGUGCCAAUGGGAAGGUAUACACACAGCAUAUGAAUGAGUACAAGGGAACUUGAUCAAAAUUCCAGUCUCAUGUAUUUUUUCUGAACACUUGCUGCACUCCUUUCAGAUCUGGAAAAUUGCAGGCUGACAUAUCUCUGGAUUUUUUAUGUUGUGCUUCUUUUCUCCUAAGAUCUACGCCCUACUGGUUCUGGGAAACUUGUGACCUCUGCAUUUUUAAUUAGAACUUGUAACAUUUUCCAUAGCAACAUAUUUUGAUGUCGCAAAUACAGAACCUGUCAAAUCAAACAAUUUCAAAGUGCAAAGCUACGGCCUUCUGGUCAAUUGAAGUCCAAGUACAUGAAAACACUGAGAUGCAAGGAAGACUGAAAAUUAUUUGUUGGUUAACUCAUAGCUUUGAUCUUCAUAAUUAAUAAAUCAGUACAGAUAUAAAAGAAUUACAUUGCAUGCUGGAGUGGUUUAGAUGAACUCAGUACUAAUUUCAUCGCACGUGAGAGCAGAUAGAAUCCAUCUGUCUGACUGGUGUGCCAGUACUAACAUGGUACAAAGGAGAGGAUCUAUUUCUAGGAAAUAGUCGAGAUGUGGAACAAACUUCACUCACAUGAUGAGCUGUGUGAGCAGGAAGUGAAGAAAACAGAAAUCCUCUGAAACGAGGCCUGAGCUCAGAUUUCAACAGACCCACAAUAUGAGCAGGAAUAAUAAUAAUGGGUUAAGAAAAGCAGUGUAACUUAGCACUUAAAUAUGUAUAUUAAAAAUAAGUCAUUUAUUUAUGAUACAUGCCCUGCAAGUGCCAAAUAAUACUUCUGUCAAGUCUGAAGAACAUAAACUGAGAAUUUUUGUCAUUCAGAUAUACUUAUCUUUCCUUUUCCUGCUUUAAGCUAAGACUAAUGGCCAAGGAAGUCAUAUUUUCCUGCCAUUACUAAGACUGCACAAGGUAAUUUGCCCCUCUGCAAGGACAUCCACGUGUAACUGUUAGUAACACCAGCAGCCACGAGAUAUGGAUAUGAUCAUCAAGUCUUACUAAAACAAAUGCUGAAUACCAUGAACCUUUCAGGAGGAAAAGGCAAGUGUCAAUGUGGAAUGCGGUAAGAACUUUCUUGUUUCUGGUAGCAUUGGGUAUGUGACUGCUAUCCCUCUUCUUAUUCCAUCUAUUUCCACUUUUUACAAAAAAAAAAAAAAAAAAAAAAAAAAAAAAACACUGGAAUAUUAAGUUAAUAUUAAGUUAAACGUGGUAUGUUUCAACCUUGCAUUGCAGAUAAGGAAUUCCUGGAGUUCCUGAAUCCUGCGUGAUUGCAGGCAGCUCAGCUGAGUGUGCAUAAGGGAAAGGGGAACAAAAAUAUAAGAUUUUUCUGUUUCCUACCAAUUAUCUGAUAUUUCCCCUCUACUGUCUUUGGUGUAAAAGAAAACCAAAGUUCAGCCUUCUAGGAAAUGUAUUCUGGUAACCUGAAAGACUUUAUAAAUAGAGUGCACAAAUAGAUGACAGUACUUCCAUGACAUAGAUUUUCUGCUUUAGAAUGAAAUGCUUCAUUUGAAAAAGCUCCUAAAAUUGUUAGAACAGUAAUUUAAAAAAAAAAAAAAAGUUUAAACUCCACAAUUGAAUACAAAAAACGUUGCUGUGAAGGUUUUGAUUUCCAAGAAAUCCAUUUUAAACGUAUUUACAAAGUUUACAUAGAAGAAUAGAUCUGCUGCUAUCUAUAACAUUCACUUCUGUAGUAGAACAGCUAAUUUGCGACUAUUGGAUGAGAGAUACAGAAAGAGUCACUUUAGUGAAAGAAAAAAAAAACAUAUUAUUUUAAGGACAAAUAGUAAAAAAUGAUUGUUUUGGAGUUUAGAGACACAGAGUUUGAAGGAUUUUGCCCUCCGAUGCAGACUGCUCAUGCUUAUGCUGUAGCAAAGGAGGAGCAUCUUGACUACAAGAGUCUUAGUGGAAGAAAACUGGCAAUGCCUUUAUAAAAAUGUAUUUAAUUUCUGUGUUUGCAGUUUUCCCAGCUUCAUCCCUAGGUCCUGGCCUCAAGGGCCCUAGAGAUGUCACAGUUUUAAACAGUCUUAUAAAUCUAGGAGGGGAAAUGAGCUGUCUCUCAUCUUAAACAGAGAGCCUUGGAGAAUGUCUAUGGGGCUUUACCAAUGGAGCUGCCGAAAACAAAGCUAUGAUUCAGGGGUCUCUGACCUUUCCCAGCCCUCCUCCACCAGUGUCAGCCUGCAGCCUGCUCUUUAAAAGUUUCUGCUCACCCAGGGAGCAAAAUUAGAAAUCUUCUCCAGGGACAAUUUUUCUUCCAUCAAGCCACUCAUCAGCCCACUGAGGCAUGGAAACCAAAAAGGAAAAAGUGAGUUAAAAGAAUGUAUGUCUCUUGGUAAGGAUUUCCCACAGCAGAGUGUAAGUGUCCAGACUACCUCAUCAGCAGAGUCCCAGCCUUUACUAUAGGUCUUGGUAUUCAGUCUGUACUGUAGUGGUAUAGAAAAGUGCCAAGCACUGUGCAGGUGAUGCAUGCAUCAAUACAGCAGAUGUGGAGGUGUGUUUGAACUGCUUAACAUCAGCACUUACCAAAUGUUGAAGACACUCUAGCCCCUACGACAAAUAAAAGCAUUCAUUCAGAUGUGCAUGGCAUUUCAGGAAUGGAAUCAUUAUUAUCUUCUCCGAAAAUGUUUUGUCUUAUGUUUAAUAUAAUAUAAUAUAUAUUGCUUAUUGGAAACAAAUCCUUGUUAGUCUCGUUGUUUGUUUGUUUCCUAAUUGUGGAUCACCACAGAACAGGGUACAGUUCAUAAAUACCUCAAAUAUCUGAAAGGUGAUUGCAGCAGAGCAGGGCUGGUCUCUUCUCACUGGUGGCAGGAUGAGGAGAAAUGGCCUCAGGCUGCACCAGGGGAGGUUUAGGUCGGAUAUCAGGAAGAAUUUCUUUACAGAAAGGGUUGUUAAGCUCUGGAAUGGGCUCCCCAGGGAGGUGUUGAGUCACCAUCCCUGGAUGUGUUUAAAAUCCAUCUGGAUGUGGUGCUCAGGGACAUGAUUUAGUGGAGGGUUGUUAGAGUUUGGGUAGUAUGGUUGGGUCUUGAUUGGACUCAAUGAUCUUUAAGGUCUUUUCCAAGCAAAUUCUAUGAUUUCCGGAGCAAUUCUAUGAUUCUGUCAUUUAAUAUGGAGAAAAUUCAAGUAAACUAAAAAUCAGAUUUAAAAGAUAACCUGGUGCAAUGUACUUUUAUUUAUUAAUUUGUUUAUUUUUAUUCCCCAGGCCUUUUUAAAGUUAACCCUAGAAAACACCCCAUGUUGGCGACUCCUUGUAAUUCAUGUCAAUGUUCUUUCAGCAGCACAGUUGCUGCUUCCACGCCGUGAGCAUCUCCUGUAUUUGCUUUAGAACUGCUUCCUGCUGAUGCGUUAAGCACAGGAAGUGAAAGGGUCUGUUGUCGAUUCCAUAACUACCUCCCCCCAUUCAGCUGAAGGAAGGGAAAUAAGAAAAUUGAAAGGUCAGACUUCUGAAGUCAUCUUCGCCACGUGCUUAACAUUUACAUCAUCAAAUUAAUGGAAUGACUGCAACCACAAGCACAAAAGA